AAGGUACUCAAGGGCACUAAAUGGAUGCCUAGACGUAUAUUACCGAUGAAGGACGUGGAAGACUGCGAUAAGCCUCGGGAAGCUGUCAACAAGCUUUGAUCCGGGGAUUUCCGAAUGGGGAAACCCAGCAUGAGUCAUGUCAUGUUGCCACUUGCUGAACACAUAGGCAAGCGAGCGGGAACCAUCUGAACUGAAACAUCUUAGUAGGAUGAGGAAGAGAAAGUAAAUAACGAUUGCGAAAGUAGUGGCGAGCGAAAUCGCAACAGCCCAAACCUUUUAAGUUUUUGCCUAUUUAUUUAGGCAAAUAAGUUGAUAGACGAAUACUUAAUAAGGGGUUGUGAUAUUACAUAUGACCAAGUCAGAGCAUUUGAAUUCGUUCAAAUAAUCUGAUUUGCGAUACCAGGCUAUCAACUGGUAGUAAGGUAAGAAAAUGGCGUGGUUAGCAGAAUAGUUUGAAUGACUAGCCAAAGAGCGUGAAAGCCGUGUACGCGAAAACGACGCUGACCUUAUGUAUGUUUUAUCGAGUAGGACGGGGCACGAGAAACCCUGUUUGAAUCUGGCUGGACCACCAGCCAAGGCUAAAUAUAAUAUACGAUCGAUAGUGAACUAGUACAGCGAUGGAAAGGUGAAAAGAACCCCGGGAGGGGAGUGAAAUAGAUCCUGAAAUUUAGUGCCUACAAGGAGUCGGAGCCGGCUUGUCCGGUGACGGCGUGCUUUUUGUAGAACGAUCCAGCGAGUUAAUUUUUACAGCGAGGUUAAGUCAAUUGACGGAGCCACAGUGAAAGCGAGCCUGAAUAGGGCGUUUAGUUGUAAGGAUUAGACCCGAAACCGGGUGACCUAACCAUGAGCAGGUUGAAGCCACUGUAACAGGUGGUGGAGGACCGAACCAGGAUACGCAGCAAAGUGUUUGGAUGACUUGUGGUUAGCGGUGAAAUGCCAAUCGAACUCGGAGAUAGCUGGUUCUCCUCGAAAUAGCUUUAGGGCUAGCGUCGUGUUAGUAGCACAUGGGGGUAGAGCUCUGUAAAGGACUGGGGCGGGCAACUGUACCCACCCUUAACAAACUACGAAUACCAUGUGUGUAACCACGGCAGUUAGAACAUCGGUGCUAAGAUCGGUGCUCGAAAGGGAAACAGCCCAGACCAUCAUCUAAGGUCCCUAAAUUAACGUUCAGUGGGAAACAAGGUGAGAUUUCUUAAACAGCUAGGAUGUUGGCUUAGAAGCAGCCAUUCAUUUAAAGAGUGCGUAACAGCUCACUAGUCAAGAGAUCUUGCGUGGAAAAUGUAACGGGGCUAAAACGUUAUACCGAAGAUAUGGAUAUUCAGUAUCUUUCUUGCCCUUUAAUAAGUGACUUAAAAAAAUAAGAACUUCUUAAAGGGAUGGCUACACUAACGUGUGGUUUUGAGAUAGAUACUGAAUGUGGUAGAGGAGCGUUCCUAUCAGCAGUGAAGUCGAAUCGGAAGGUUCGGUGGAGCGGUAGGAAGUGAGAAUGCUGGAAUGAGUAACCAUAAGAGAGGUGAGAAUCCUCUCGGCCGUAAGAGCAAGGUUUCCUGAGCCAUGGUAAUCAUCUCAGGGUUAGUCGGGCCUAAGCCGAGGCGCAGAGCGUAGGCGAUGGACAUCAGGUUAAUAUUCCUGAACCGGUUAAGUUUUGUACACUGUUCACGGGGAAGUAAUCGAAGCGGAUUCAUGGUUUAUCCGUCCAACCGAGCGGGAACGCAAAGGGAGUGAAAGUGAUUCUUCGGAGUCGCGAUUUUGGUGAAAGCCCUGGCUAGAAAAGCAGGUGUACGCGUGGACUUAGCCGCCCGUACCGCAAACCAACACAGGUGCUCGAGUCGAGUAGACUCAGGCUUACGAGCGAACCUUCGCUAAGGAACUCGGCAAUACAGCGACCGUAACUUCGGGAUAAGGUCUGCCCCCACUUCGGUGGAUAUCAGCCGCGUUCACUCAGUGAAUAAUAGGUUAAAGAGUACAUUUUUAAUCACAAAACGAAUUUUCUGAGAUAGAGCAAUGAAUUGUUCUUUUGAACGCGAAUCUCUGACAUCUAACGAUGUGGGGGCCGCAGCAAAAGAGCCCACGGAACUGUUUAUCAAAAACACAGGUCUCUGCUAACACGAAAGUGGAUGUAUAGGGGCUGACUCCUGCCCAAUGCUGGAAGGUUAAGGGGAGCGCUUCACGGUGCGAACUGAAGCCCUAGUCAAUGGCGGCGGUAACUAUAACCGUCCUAAGGUAGCGAAAUUCCUUGUCAGGUAAGUUCUGACCCGCACGAAUGGAGUAAUCAUGUGGGCACUGUCUCAGCGAAGGACUCGGUGAAAGUGCAUUGGCGGUAAAGAUGCCGUCUGUCCGUACCAGGACGAAAAGACCCCAUGGAGCUUUACUACAGCUUUACAUUGAAUACGGUUUCAACAUGUGUAGCAUAGGUGGGAGACGUUGAAGCAGAUACGCCAGUAUUUGUGGAGUCACCAAGUGAAAUACCACCCUUGUUGUGAUUGUGUUCUCACGCUGACCGUUAUCCGGUUAGCGGACCGUGUAUGGUGGGUAGUUUAACUGGGGCGGUUGCCUCCUAAAGAGUAGCGGAGGCGUUCAAAGGUUGGCUAACUUCGGAUGGAAAUCGAAGUGAUAGUGUAUGCGCAUAAGCCAGCUUGACUGUGAGGAGUACAUUCCAAUCAGAGACGAAAGUCGGAGCAAGUGAUCCGCUGUACGUACAUUUGUACAUGAAUGUGGGAUCGACAGCGCAAACGGAUAAAAGUUACCCUGGGGAUAACAGGCUUAUAGCGCCCAAUAGUUCACAUAGACGGCGCUGUUUGGCACCUCGAUGUCGGCUCAUCACAUCCUGGAGGGGGAGCACCUUCCAAGGGUUCGGCUGUUCGCCGAUUAAAGUGGUACGCGAGCUGGGUUCAGAACGUCGUGAGACAGUUCGGUUUAUAUCCGGUAUGGACGAUAGGAAACUUGAGAGGAUCUACCCCUAGUACGAGAGGACCGGGGCGGACGCACCUCUGGUGUAUCGAUUGUGGCCACCUGCUGCAUUGUCGAGUAGCUAUGUGCGGACUAGAUAAGCGCUGAAAGCAUAUUAAGCGCGAAACUAACCUCAAGAUAAGGUUUCCCUAUGAGGACACAGAAAGACUAUCUGUUUGAUAGGCGCAAGGUGGAAGUGCAGCAAUGCAUGGAGCUAAAGCGUACUAAUAGUCCCAUUGCCUU
rnacentral:rRNA from 1 species